GAUCUUUAUUUUUAUUUUAUUAUAAGUUAAUAGGAUUUUUUGAAUUUGUAAUUAAAUUAAAAAUUUUACUGGGGUGGUAUUAAAAUUUAAUAAACUUUUAUUUUAUAUUACAUUAAUAUAUGAAUUAUUGAUCCAAUUAUAUUGAUUAAAAAAUUAAGUUACCUUAGGGAUAACAGCGUAAUUUUUUUUUAGAGUUCAUAUCGACAAAAAAGAUUGC
rnacentral:rRNA from 1 species